CAGAGUAUCAAUUGGAGGGCAAGUCUGGUGCCAGCAGCCGCGGUAAUUCCAGCUCCAAUAGCGUAUAUUAAAGUUGUUGCAGUUAAGAAGCUCGUAGUUGAAUUUCUGCCUUGUCAUUAAUCUCGCUUCCGAGCGUUUUUUUAUUGACUUGGCAUCUUCUGGAUUUGGUGCCUUCGGGUACUAUUUUCCAGGAUUUACUUUGAGAAAACUAGAGUGUUUCAAACAGGCAUUCGCCUUGAAUACUACAGCAUGGAAUAAUGAAGUAGGACUUUGGUUCUAUUUUGUUGGUUAUUGAGCCAGAGUAAUGGUUAAUAGGAGCAGUUGGGGGCAUUCGUAUUUAACUGUCAGAGGUGAAAUUCUUAGAUUUGUUAAAGACGAACUACUGCGAAAGCAUUUGCCAAGGAUGUUUUCAUUAAUCAAGAACGAAAGUUAGGGGAUCGAAGACGAUCAGAUACCGUCGUAGUCCUAACCAUAAACUA
rnacentral:rRNA from 1 species